rnacentral:rRNA from 1 species
UACGAAGGGGGCUAGCGUUGUUCGGAAUUACUGGGCGUAAAGCGCACGUAGGCGGAUUUGUAAGUCAGGGGUGAAAUCCUGGAGCUCAACUCCAGAACUGCCUUUGAUACUGGCGAUCUUGAGUCCGGGAGAGGUGAGUGGAACUGCGAGUGUAGAGGUGAAAUUCGUAGAUAUUCGCAAGAACACCAGUGGCGAAGGCGGCUCACUGGCCCGGUACUGACGCUGAGGAGCGAAAGCGUGGGGAGCGAACAGG